ACGGGGGGCAGCAGUGGGGGAUAUUGGACAAUGGGGGGAACCCUGAUCCAGCGACGCCGCGUGAGUGAAGAAGUAUCUCGGUAUGUAAAGCUCUAUCAGCAGGGAAGAAGGAAUGACGGUACCUGAGUAAGAAGCCCCGGCUAACUACGUGCCAGCAGCCGCGGUAAUACGUAGGGGGCAAGCGUUAUCCGGAUUUACUGGGUGUAAAGGGAGCGCAGACGGCAGUGCAAGUCUGGAGUGAAAGCCCGGGGCCCAACCCCGGAACUGCUCUGGAAACUGUGCGGCUAGAGUACUGGAGGGGCAGG
rnacentral:rRNA from 1 species